rnacentral:lncRNA from 1 species
UCAGGCGACUAUCUAGUCCAAGGACCAUCUGCUGGGUCCAAUCUCGAGUCGGCUCGCAGAUUUUUCAAUCCUUGGAUAUAAAAGACAAAUAUAAAAUUAAAAAUAAAAUAAAAUAGAAACAAUGGAAUUCAAAUCCACAGCAUGGAGAAAAAACUUUGCUUACCUCCAAUCAACGUCCCCAACUUGCAACAUGUCAUUCUCAUGGUGAACAUAAGCUAUGCGAUGCUUUCGAAUAGCAUUGGCAAGGUCAAGUCCUCUCGAACUUAAUCUUGGGAUAAAAUUUGUAAUAAACAUGUCUCAAGGACCCUGCCAAAGAAGUGUAGUCCCCAUGGUCUCAGCUUAUAUUGAUAUGAUGUUUCUUGAUCACAUUAAACUUCAUGUUGUUUCCUUCCUCAAGGCCCAAAAUUUCCACAUCCAAAUUCAAGUUGUCUAGUUUCUCAGGAAAGAAACAUAAGAAUUGAGGUGACUCCUCCACCUUCUCUUCAUAAAACUCCUCUUUAUUUCUCUCUCUUCUUCCCCCCAUCUCUCUCUCCCUCUCCACAUUAUAGACCUCAGGUUCCUCUGGAUUUUUCUCUCUUCCUUUCCCUAUCUCUCUCCCUCUCCACAUUAAAGAUAAACCCUCAAUCUUUCUUUUACCAACAAGAAAGAAGCUUAACGUGAAUGAAAAGUACAAUUCUCCUCUUUUUUCUUCUCUCUCUUUUGAUCUUACACUGAAGAAACAUGCCUAAAUGGAUUGUGGUGUAAUGAAUAAUAAACCUUUGGUCGUUAUGAAGCCUCUUCAGUUUGUUACCGUAAUAUUUAGGAGCAUUUUAGGUAGGGUUAGAUUUUAAUUUAAUGGAAAAAAAAGUUGUUAUGCAUUUAUUUUUGGAUAUAUUGGAAUGAUAUUACUUAGGAUUUAGAGUUGAUAUAAAUUAAUCUAAUGUUUUUAGAACCCAUCCAAGCUUGGAUUUUUUGCUAAGAAAUAAUGUAGAGGUUGUUAUGCAUUUAUUUUUGGAUAUAUACUUAUUUUUUGAUAUAUCAUGUAUAUUUUUGGAUAUAUCAUCUAGUGUUGGAAUGAUGUUCCUUAGGAUUUAGAGUUAAUCUAAUGUUUUUACAACCAAUCCAAGUU